UCUUAUGGAUGAGCAAAGAAAGUGAUUUCUUGAGAUGGAAACUACUGCUGGUGAAGACGCUGUGAA
rnacentral:pre_miRNA from 1 species